rnacentral:misc_RNA from 1 species
UCAAACUUGGUCAUUUAGAGGAAGUAAAAGUCGUAACAAGGUCUCCGUUGGUGAACCAGCGGAGGGAUCAUUACCGAGUUUAGACUCCCAAACCCCGUGAGAACCCUACUCCGUUGCCUCGGCGGGACCGCCCCGGCGCCCACAGCGGCCCGGACACAGGCGCCCGCCGGAGGGCCCCGAGACUCAGCUCUGUCAGCGGCAUGUCGGCGUACAACCACAAAAAUGAAUCAAAACUUUCAACAACGGAUCUCUUGGUUCUGGCAUCGAUGAAGAACGCAGC